rnacentral:tRNA from 2 species
AGAAAUUUAGGUUACACCAAACCAAGGACCUUCAAAGCCCUAAACAGGAACCAAAAAUCCUAAUUUCUG